AACGAACGCUGGCUGCGUGCCUAACACAUGCAAGUCGAGCGCGAAAGGGGCAACCUGAGUAGAGCGGCGCACGGGUGCGUAACACGUGGGUAAUCUGCCCCAGAGACUUGGAUAACCAUCCGAAAGGAUGGCUAAUACGGGAUAAGCCCACGGCCUCUUUGGAGGUUGGGGGAAAAGGUGUCCUCUGUUUACAUGCUACCACUCUGGGAUGAGCCCGCGGCCCAUCAGCUAGUUGGCGGGGUAAUGGCCCACCAAGGCAACGACUGGUAGCUGGUCUGAGAGGACGAUCAGUCACACGGGCGCUGAGUCACGGCCCCGACUCAGACGGGAGGCAGCAGUAAGGAAGAUUGGUCAAUGGACGCAAGUCUGAACCAGCCAUGCCGCGUGGAGGAUGAAGGUCCUCUGGAUUGUAAACUUCUUUUAUUUGGGAAGAAAUCCACUUUUUCUAAGGUGGUUGACGGUACCAGAUGAAUAAGCACUGGCUAACUCCGUGCUAGCAGCCGCCGUAA
rnacentral:rRNA from 1 species